GCCGCCGUGCACGGCUUGCGGCCCCGCCUUCGUACGGCGGGCGGUCCGGUUCGACACCGGGGGGCGGCUCCA
rnacentral:tRNA from 1 species